rnacentral:rRNA from 1 species
GGAUAACCUACCCUUAGGACUGGGAUAACCCUGGGAAACUGAGGCUAAUACCGGAUAGGCAAUUUUUCCUGUAAUGGUUUUUUGUUUAAAUGUUUUUUCGCCUAAGGAUGGGUCUGCGGCCGAUUAGGUAGUUGGUUAGGUAAUGGCUUACCAAGCCGUUGAUCGGUACGGGUUGUGAGAGCAAGAGCCCGGAGAUGGAACCUGAGACAAGGUUCCAGGCCCUACGGGGUGCAGCAGGCGCGAAACCUCCGCAAUGUGAGAAAUCGCGACGGGGGGAUCCCAAGUGCCAUUCUUAACGGGAUGGCUUUUCAUUAGUGUAAAGAGCUUUUGGAAUAAGAGCUGGGCAAGACCGGUGCCAGCCGCCGCGGUAACACCGGCAGCUCUAGUGGUAGCAAUUUUUAUUGGGCCUAAAGCGUCCGUAGCCGGUUUAAUAAGUCUCUGGUGAAAUCCUGUAGCUUAACUGUGGGAAUUGCUGGAGAUACUAUUAGACUUGAGACCGGGAGAGGUUGGAGGUACUCCCAGGGUAGAGGUGAAAUUCUGUAAUCCUGGGAGGACCGCCUGUUGCGAAGGCGUCUAACUGGAACGGUUCUGACGGUGAGGGACGAAAGUUAGGGGCGCGAACCGGAUUAGAUACCCGGGUAGUCCUAACUGUAAACGAUGCGGACUUGGUGUUGGGGUGGCUUUGAGCUGCUCCAGUGCCGAAGGGAAGCUGUUAAGUCCGCCGCCUGGGAAGUACGGUCGCAAGACUGAAGCUUAA